rnacentral:other from 4 species
GAAACCCUGCCUGGUACGUGGGGAUUUAAGUAUUUUUUAACCGAUAAAUUAUUUUUGGAGGUUGUUCCUUAUUCUGGUGUGCAUGCUUGGGAAACCAAGAAGCCUAAAAGAAUAACACGACUUCCACCUGGUUAUUGACUAGGGUUUAAAAAUGAAAAUCCUUUCACGGCUUAUGGUGGGGUUUUU